AACGAACGCUGGCGGCAUGCCUAACACAUGCAAGUCGAACGAGACCUUCGGGUCUAGUGGCGCACGGGUGCGUAACGCGUGGGAACCUGCCCUUAGGUUCGGAAUAACUCCCCGAAAGGGGUGCUAAUACCGGAUAAUGUCUUCGGACCAAAGAUUUAUCGCCUUUGGAUGGGCCCGCGUUGGAUUAGCUAGUUGGUAGGGUAAAAGCCUACCACGGCGACGAUCCAUAGCUGGUCUGAGAGGAUGAUCAGCCACACUGGGACUGAGACCCGGCCCAGACUCCUACGGGAGGCAGCAGUGGGGAAUAUUGGACAAUGGGCGAAGGCCUGAUCCAGCAAUGCCGCGUGAGUGAUGAAGGCCUUAGGGUUGUAAAGCUCUUUUACCCGGGAUGAUAAUGACAGUACCGGGAGAAUAAGCUCCGGCUAACUCCGUG
rnacentral:rRNA from 1 species